rnacentral:rRNA from 1 species
GACGGAGGGUGCAAGCGUUGUUCGGAAUCACUGGGCGUAAAGCGCGUGUAGGCGGUUUGGUAAGUCGAGUGUGAAAGCCCGAGGCUCAACCUUGGAAGUGCACUCGAAACUGUCAGGCUUGAGUACGGGAGAGGGAAGUGGAAUUCCUGGUGUAGAGGUGAAAUUCGUAGAUAUCAGGAGGAACACCGGUGGCGAAGGCGGCUUCCUGGACCGAUACUGACGCUGAGACGAGAAAGCGUGGGGAGCAAACAGG